rnacentral:rRNA from 1 species
GCAAGUCGAGCGGUAACAUUCCUAGCUUGCUAGGAGAUGACGAGCGGCGGACGGGUGAGUAAUGCUUGGGAAUAUGCCUUAAGGUGGGGGACAACAGUUGGAAACGACUGCUAAUACCGCAUAAUGUCUACGGACCAAAGUGGGGGACCUUCGGGCCUCACGCCUUUAGAUUAGCCCAAGUGAGAUUAGCUAGUAGGUGAGGUAAUGGCUCACCUAGGCGACGAUCUCUAGCUGGUUUGAGAGGAUGAUC